GACGAACGCUGGCGGCGUGCUUAACACAUGCAAGUCGAACGGAGAGGCCCUGCUUUUGUGGGGUGCUCGAGUGGCGAACGGGUGAGUAACACGUGAGUAACCUGCCCUUGACUUUGGGAUAACUUCAGGAAACUGGGGCUAAUACCGGACAGGAGCUCCUGCUGCAUGGUGGGGGUUGGAAAGUUUCGGCGGUUGGAGAUGGACUCGCGGCUUAUCAGCUUGUUGGUGGGGUAGUGGCUUACCAAGGCUUUGACGGGUAGCCGGCCUGAGAGGGUGACCGGCCACAUUGGGACUGAGAUACGGGCCAGACUCCUACGGGAGGCAGCAGUGGGGGAUAUUGCACGAUGGGCGGAAGCCGGAUGCAGCAACGCCGCGUGCGGGAUGACGGCCGUCGGGUUGUAAACCGCUUUCGCCUGUGACGAAGCGUGAGUGACGGUAAUGGGUAAAGAAGCACCGGCUAACUACGUG
rnacentral:rRNA from 1 species